CACGUAGGGGGCGAGCGUUGUCCGGAUUUAUUGGGCGUAAAGAGCUCGUAGGCGGCUCGGUAAGUCAGGUGUGAAACCUCCAGGCUCAACCUGGAGACGCCACCUGAUACUGCCGUGGCUAGAGUCCGGUAGAGGAGCGUAGAAUUCCUGGUGUAGCGGUGAAAUGCGCAGAUAUCAGGAGGAAUACCAGCGGCGAAGGCGGCGCUCUGGGCCGGUACUGACGCUGAGGAGCGAAGGCGUGGGGAGCAAACAGG
rnacentral:rRNA from 1 species